rnacentral:rRNA from 1 species
UACGGGGGGAGCAAGCGUUGUUCGGAUUUACUGGGCGUAAAGGGCGCGUAGGCGGCUUUGCAAGUGACGGGUGAAAUCCCUCGGCUUAACCGAGGAACUGCCUGUCAGACUGCAUGGCUUGAGACCGGGAGAGGUGAGUGGAAUUCCCAGUGUAGCGGUGAAAUGCGUAGAUAUUGGGAGGAACACCAGUGGCGAAGGCGGCUCACUGGACCGGUACUGACGCUGAGGCGCGAAAGCGUGGGGAGCAAACAGG